UAAUGAUGAGAAUUCAAUAGAUGACGAGUCAGAAUUUUAGGGUCUUUCCUAUUGUUGAUACAACUAUUCGGUUACCAUUCAUGCAAUUUCUGAAG
rnacentral:snoRNA from 1 species